rnacentral:lncRNA from 1 species
UGGAAUCCAGAUUAAAGUAAAAUUUGAAUCAAGUUUGAAUUUGUAGUUUGAAAUAAAACAUAAAAUAGAAAAGGGAAACAAAAAAGGGAAAACCUCACCUGGGCCAUGUACCACUCACUUGGCCCCACUGCCUUACUUGUGUCAGCCCAACACCGGCCCGUCAGCCUCUCCACACCGCGCGCUAGUGUUGCCUUAAGUCACCGGUGGUUGGGGCCCACCUUUCGGGUCCCUCCCCUUCGUCAUCUCCGAACCGGUGUGAGCACCAAAAACUCCAUGGAUCUCGCAUAACAAACACCGUAGCUGCCUUCGCUUGCAGGCUCCUCUCGCGGCCAUAUAAGCCGACUCCCCUCUGCAGUCUCCCUCGCGUCCGGGUUCCGUGAACCACCCCGAGGCCAGUAGUUGAAAGCUCUGUCUACAUCACCGGGCGAGCGUAUAGAAAGGUAGGAGCCCGUCAUUGGAGGAACUUCGAUUUGCCAUCCUUGAUGCACCUGGGGCGGGCCAGGGAGAUGCGCCUAGCAUCUGGGAGGGUUCUCUUGGGAUUCGCUUAUGAAGAGCUCGAUCAGUUUCUGAACGGUGCAAUGGCUCCAUCGCGUGCCGCACCGUGCCGUGGGUGGCUCUCCAGACAUCGUAUCUGUCUCCGGUAAGUUCCCAGCUACUUUUGCCACGUUCGUAGAAUCGUGUAGCUGCUGACCAAUUUGAGUUUGGUGCUCGGGAGGGCCGUUCGGGCAUCUUGUCGGCGGUGCUCCACCGUGGGAGUCACGAGCGCCGCCGUGGUUGGCAUAUGCCGUCAUGGGGAUGAAGGGAAUGGCUGCUCGAUCUGUAUUGUGCGGUGUAGAUUAGACAGCCGGAUAACUCUUCGUCAUUGCUGAUCGUGGCUAUCGAUCGUAGUAUCCACGUGUGAGAUGGGGUUCGGACUUCAUAGAAUUCGGGCCGUCGGAUCUCGAUUCAGUGGUGACUAUCACGUACUGAUUUACUGGUGAUGGGAUCUAAUCUGAUCCGUUGGUUUAAGAUCUAGGGGCCGAAAAGGAAGCACGUGACAUAGCCAACUAGUUUUUCAUAAAGAACCCCCCCAAAAAAGUUCAUAAACUAAGCUGAUGUCCAUUGUAGUUGUAAAAUCAUUGCACCAGGUCCUUUAUUUUGCAGACUAACCCCUGGACUCCCUAAAUAUAUUAACCGUUGUCCUUUUGAAAACUUAAAUUUAUAAAAUGAAUCAGGAGUUUCAUAAAAGCCUUUAUUAAACACAUUUUAAGUGUAAAAAAUUAUUUUAUAAAUGUAUAAAAACCAUAACUCCUCUGUUUUAGAUCUGAUUAAACCCACUCCAGUUGCAGUAACUUAGUAAUUAAAUUUCCUACACAUUAACAACAUUAUUUUAUCAUAUAACAUUCUACAUUCUACAUUGGAGAAGAACCUGGGGUUGCACCAAAAAGGAAAGUUGUGCCCUUGAUCACUUUUCUUUACCUAAUAAUGUUCCGGUCAAUCACUAUGACAUGCUCAUGUUAAUUUGAUGGGACCUAAUAGGUUACCCUAGUUUUGUUCACCAUACACCUUGCAAACAAAUAAACUAUUGGGUAGACUCGCUAUUGCUCUACCUAGUUUUGUGAUUAAUGUUAUAUCUAAAUUAUAUAUGAUCAUGUUCCAUUAUUUUUGUUGAUUUGAUUAUUGUUCAUGAUAAGAUUAUUAUGUUAAUUGGAACAUGGAGAACCACCCAGGAAAAUAGUGCUACCACAAGGGUGGAAUGGGACGCCCUUGGCUGACUAAUUAGGAAAACUACUGGAGGACUACGUUACCCAAAAGAGGCAAGGGCGAUAGAGGAGUUGCCGGUGUAGGGAGCUCUCGGGUCGAUCAUGCUGCGAUGGCUUUUCGAAUGAGGGAUUCCUAUAUCGCUCUUCUCACAAAAUCGUAGCAAGUUUUCUGAAGCUAGUGGAACUUUAUAAAGGCCUCGUAGUGGAUCCCUAACCAUUCAGCUCAGAAGUGUCUAAGUGCCUUGCAAACCCUGGCUAGAUGGGAUACACGACUUGUGGGUAAAGGGAGCAACCUCUGCAGAGUGUAAAACUGCUAUAUCAGUCGUGCUCACGGUCUUGAGCGGCUCGGACCCUCACAUGAGUAACUUAUGGAAUUAAACUUAAUCUAUCGUUUGCAUUGCAUUGUGGGAUUUAUUAUUAAUUGUGAUAUCUUAUUUUAUUGGAAUGGUAUCUACUUAUACUUAGUAAAUGCUAAUGAAAUUUUGACCAACUUGUUAAAAGCAACACUCAGCCUUAACCAUUCUAUUUGGUAAGCCUUACACUUCACAUGAGCCCCACCGUAAGUGAGCCCAUGCACAUUAUUCCCCAAAACUUGUUGAGCGAUGAAUGUAUGUGAGCUCACCCUUGUUGUACUCACACCCCUAGGUCAAGAACAUGUAUCGAUAAGACGAGGAGCAUGAAGGAUGCCAUGAUGAGUUCGUGAGAGGUCUAGGCCAUCGUCUCCCAGUCAACUAUGGUUGUGGAGGAUCGUUGUCUCCAUAUGUUGUAAUUAUAUAACUAUUUUGAACAGAACUCCUAUUAUAUAGUAAAGAUGUGAUAUCCGUUUCUGUACCAUGAGUUAUCAUAUGUGUGAGACUUGAUCCUAUCACACAUUUGAUUCAUGCCUGGAUUUGCCCUUAAAUCCGGGUGUGACAUGAUGUUUGGUGUUUAAGCAAGGGUGAGUACACAUCAACG